CCUACGGGGGGCAGCAGUGGGGAAUUUUGCGCAAUGGGGGAAACCCUGACGCAGCGAUGCCGCGUGGAGGACGAAGGUCUUCGGAUUGUAAACUCCUUUUGUCGGUGAAAAACAUUUACGUGAAUAACGUAAACUGAUUGUAUCCGGCGAAUAAGCCACGGCUAACUUCGUGCCAGCAGCCGCGGUAAGACGAAGGUGGCGAGCGUUACUCGGAUUUACUAGGCGUAAAGCGUGGGCAGGCGGCUCGAUAAGUCUCUUGUGAAAGCCUUGGGCUUAACCCAGGGAGGCCAAGAGAUACUAUCGGGCUUGGAUGUGGGAGAGGAGACUGGAAUUCCCGGUGUAGCGGUGAAAUGCGUUGAUAUCGGGAGGAACACCAAUGGCGAAAGCAAGUCUCUGGACCACCAUCGACGCUCAUCCACGAAAGCUGGGGGAUCAAACAGGAUUAGAUACCCGUGUAGUC
rnacentral:rRNA from 1 species